rnacentral:rRNA from 1 species
UGGACUGCGGAGGAUCAUUAUCAAAACCCCUCGGGUAAAUAUCUAUGUUGAUGGUUUCCCUUUUUCCUCUUUGUCCUUAGAAUAUGUCUCCUAUCUGUGUAAAGGAAAAAGAGGUUAAAAAGAUAAAACUUUCAGCAACGGAUCUCUUGGUUCUCGCAUCGAUGAAGAACGCAGCGAAAUGCGAUAAGUAGUGUGAAUUGCAGAAUUCAGUGAAUCAUCGAAUCUUUGAACGCACAUUGCGCCUUCUGGUUUUCUGGGGGGCAUGCCUGUUCGAGAGUCAUUCCCUCAGAUGAAUCGUUUUGGUGGAAGAGGAGGUUGGCCCAAUCUCCUCCCCAUCGAAAUUCAUAGGCAGUCUGUGUGUUUUUCCUGUUUAUGGCGUUGUAAAUGGGAGGUUUAUAUUUUUAAUGAGGUAGCCACUUUUCGCCAAAAAUAUAGUUUAUCCUCGGAUCAGGUAGGGAUACCCGCUGAACUUAAGCAUAUCAAUAA